GAUGAACGCUGGCGGCGUGCCUAAUACAUGCAAGUCGAGCGAACAGACGAGGAGCUUGCUCCUCUGACGUUAGCGGCGGACGGGUGAGUAACACGUGGAUAACCUACCUAUAAGACUGGGAUAACUUCGGGAAACCGGAGCUAAUACCGGAUAAUAUAUUGAACCGCAUGGUUCAAUAGUGAAAGACGGUUUUGCUGUCACUUAUAGAUGGAUCCGCGCCGCAUUAGCUAGUUGGUAAGGUAACGGCUUACCAAGGCAACGAUGCGUAGCCGACCUGAGAGGGUGAUCGGCCACACUGGAACUGAGACACGGUCCAGACUCCUACGGGAGGCAGCAGUAGGGAAUCUUCCGAGAUGGGCGAAAGCUUGACGGAGCAACGCCGCGUGAGUGAUGAAGGUCUGCGGAUCGUAAAACUCUGUUAUUAGGGAAGAACAAAUGUGUAAGUAACUAUGCACGUCUUGACGGUACCUAAUCAGAAAGCCACGGCUAACUACGUG
rnacentral:rRNA from 1 species